GACGAACGCUGGCGGCGCGCUUAACACAUGCAAGUCGAGCGAGAACCAAGCCUUCGGGCUUGGGGACAGCGGCGAACGGGUGAGUAACACGUGGGUAAUCAACCCUUGACACUGGGAUAGCCCGGGGAAACCCGGAUUAAUACCGGAUACCCCAUCUGGCCCUCGGGCCGGCUGGAAAAGGUGCUUCGGCCUCCGGUCAGGGACGAGCCCGCGGCGGAUUAGCUUGUUGGCGGGGUAAAAGCCCACCAAGGCGACGANCAGUAGCUGGUCUGAGAGGAUGAUCAGCCACAUUGGGACUGAGACACGGCCCAAACUCCUACGGGAGGGCAGCAGUGGGGAAUAUUGGACAAUGGGCGCAAGCCUGAUCCAGCCAUGCCGCGUGAGUGAUGAAGGCCC
rnacentral:rRNA from 1 species